rnacentral:rRNA from 1 species
AUUGAACGCUGGCGGCAGGCCUAACACAUGCAAGUCGAACGGUAACAGGAAACAGCUUGCUGUUUCGCUGACGAGUGGCGGACGGGUGAGUAAUGUCUGGGAAACUGCCUGAUGGAGGGGGAUAACUACUGGAAACGGUAGCUAAUACCGCAUAACGUCGCAAGACCAAAGAGGGGGACCUUCGGGCCUCUUGCCAUCGGAUGUGUCCAGAUGGGAUUAGCUUGUUGGUGGGGUAACGGCUCACCAAGGCGACGAUCCCUAGCUGGUCUGAGAGGAUGACCAGCCACCCUGGAACUGAGACACGGUCCAGACUCCUACGGGAGGCAGCAGUGGGGAAUAUUGCACAAUGGGCGCAAGCCUGAUGCAGCCAUGCCGCGUGUAUGAAGAAGGCCUUCGGGUUGUAAAGUACUUUCAGCGGGGAGGAAGGGAGUAAAGUUAAUACCUUUACUCAUUGACGUUACCCGCAGUAGAAGCACCGGCUAACUCCGUGCCAGCAGCCGCGGUAA